UACGUAGGGGGCAAGCGUUAUCCGGAUUUACUGGGUGUAAAGGGAGCGUAGACGGCAGUGCAAGUCUGGAGUGAAAGGCGGGGGCUCAACCCCCGGACUGCUCUGGAAACUGUACGGCUGGAGUGCAGGAGAGGUAAGUGGAAUUCCUAGUGUAGCGGUGAAAUGCGUAGAUCUUAGGAGGAACACCAGUGGCGAAGGCGGCUUACUGGACUGUAACUGACGUUGAGGCUCGAAAGCGUGGGGAGCAAACAGG
rnacentral:rRNA from 1 species